AACGAACGCUGGCGGCAUGCCUUACACAUGCAAGUCGAACGGCAGCAUGGAGAGCUUGCUCUCUGAUGGCGAGUGGCGAACGGGUGAGUAAUGCAUCGGAACGUACCGUGUAAUGGGGGAUAACGUAGCGAAAGUUACGCUAAUACCGCAUACGACCUGAGGGUGAAAGCAGGGGAUCGCAAGACCUUGCGUUAUACGAGCGGCCGAUGUCAGAUUAGCUAGUUGGUGAGGUAAAGGCUCACCAAGGCGACGAUCUGUAGCGGGUCUGAGAGGAUGAUCCGCCACACUGGGACUGAGACACGGCCCAGACUCCUACGGGAGGCAGCAGUGGGGAAUUUUGGACAAUGGGGGCAACCCUGAUCCAGCCAUGCCGCGUGAGUGAAGAAGGCCUUCGGGUUGUAAAGCUCUUUUGUCAGGGAAGAAACACCGGCUCUAACACAGUCCGGGAAUGACGGUACCUGAAGAAUAAGCACCGGCUAACUACGUGCCAGCAGCCGCUGUAA
rnacentral:rRNA from 1 species